AUACGUAGGGAGCGAGCGUUGUCCGGAAUUACUGGGUGUAAAGGGAGCGUAGGCGGGAGUGCAAGUCAGAUGUGAAAUACAUGGGCUCAACCCAUGGGCUGCAUUUGAAACUGCAUUUCUUGUGUGAAGUAGAGGUAAGCGGAAUUCCUGGUGUAGCGGUGAAAUGCGUAGAUAUCAGGAGGAACCCCGGUGGCGAAGGCGGCUUACUGGGCUUUUACUGACGCUGAGGCUCGAAAGCGUGGGGAGCAAACAGGAUUAGAUACCCUGGUAGUCCACGCUGUAGACGAUGAUUACUAGGUGUGGGGGGACUGACCCCUUCCGUGCCGCAGUUAACACAAUAAGUAAUCCACCUGGGGAGUACGGCCGCAAGGUUGAAACUCAAAUGAAUUGACGGGG
rnacentral:rRNA from 1 species